AGAGUUUGAUCAUGGCUCAGAUUGAACGCUGGCGGCAGGCCUAACACAUGCAAGUCGAACGGUAACAGGAAACAGCUUGCUGUUUCGCUGACGAGUGGCGGACGGGUGAGUAAUGUCUGGGAAACUGCCUGAUGGAGGGGGAUAACUACUGGAAACGGUAGCUAAUACCGCAUAACGUCGCAAGACCAAAGAGGGGGACCUUCGGGCCUCUUGCCAUCGGAUGUGCCCAGAUGGGAUUAGCUUGUUGGUGGGGUAACGGCUCACCAAGGCGACGAUCCCUAGCUGGUCUGAGAGGAUGACCAGCCACACUGGAACUGAGACACGGUCCAGACUCCUACGGGAGGNNNNNNNNNNAGUAGGUGGGGUAACGGCUCACCUAGGCGACGAUCCCUAGCUGGUCUGAGAGGAUGACCAGCCACACUGGAACUGAGACACGGUCCAGACUCCUACGGGAGGCAGCAGUGGGGAAUAUUGCACAAUGGGCGCAAGCCUGAUGCAGCCAUGCCGCGUGUAUGAAGAAGGCCUUCGGGUUGUAAAGUACUUUCAGCGGGGAGGAAGGGAGUAAAGUUAAUACCUUUGCUCAUUGACGUUACCCGCAGAAGAAGCACCGGCUAACUCCGUGCCAGCAGCCGCGGUAAUACGGAGGGUGCAAGCGUUAAUCGGAAUUACUGGGCGUAAAGCGCACGCAGGCGGUUUGUUAAGUCAGAUGUGAAAUCCCCGGGCUCAACCUGGGAACUGCAUCUGAUACUGGCAAGCUUGAGUCUCGUAGAGGGGGGUAGAAUUCCAGGUGUAGCGGUGAAAUGCGUAGAGAUCUGGAGGAAUACCGGUGGCGAAGGCGGCCCCCUGGACGAAGACUGACGCUCAGGUGCGAAAGCGUGGGGAGCAAACAGGAUUAGAUACCCUGGUAGUCCACGCCGUAAACGAUGUCGACUUGGAGGUUGUGCCCUUGAGGCGUGGCUUCCGGAGCUAACGCGUUAAGUCGACCGCCUGGGGAGUACGGCCGCAAGGUUAAAACUCAAAUGAAUUGACGGGGGCCCGCACAAGCGGUGGAGCAUGUGGUUUAAUUCGAUGCAACGCGAAGAACCUUACCUGGUCUUGACAUCCACGGAAGUUUUCAGAGAUGAGAAUGUGCCUUCGGGAACCGUGAGACAGGUGCUGCAUGGCUGUCGUCAGCUCGUGUUGUGAAAUGUUGGGUUAAGUCCCGCAACGAGCGCAACCCUUNNNNNNNNNNAGAACUUUCCAGAGAUGGAUUGGUGCCUUCGGGAACUGUGAGACAGGUGCUGCAUGGCUGUCGUCAGCUCGUGUUGUGAAAUGUUGGGUUAAGUCCCGCAACGAGCGCAACCCUUAUCCUUUGUUGCCAGCGGUCCGGCCGGGAACUCAAAGGAGACUGCCAGUGAUAAACUGGAGGAAGGUGGGGAUGACGUCAAGUCAUCAUGGCCCUUACGACCAGGGCUACACACGUGCUACAAUGGCGCAUACAAAGAGAAGCGACCUCGCGAGAGCAAGCGGACCUCAUAAAGUGCGUCGUAGUCCGGAUUGGAGUCUGCAACUCGACUCCAUGAAGUCGGAAUCGCUAGUAAUCGUGGAUCAGAAUGCCACGGUGAAUACGUUCCCGGGCCUUGUACACACCGCCCGUCACACCAUGGGAGUGGGUUGCAAAAGAAGUAGGUAGCUUAACCUUCGGGAGGGCGCUUACCACUUUGUGAUUCAUGACUGGGGUGAAGUCGUAACAAGGUAACCGUAGGGGAACCUGCGGUUG
rnacentral:rRNA from 1 species